CCUACGGGUGGCAGCAGUGAGGAAUAUUGGUCAAUGGGCGCAAGCCUGAACCAGCCAAGUCGCGUGAGGGAUGACGGUCCUAUGGAUUGUAAACCUCUUUUGUCGGGGAGCAAGGCCCGCCACGUGUGGCGGGAAGGAGAGUACCCGAAGAAAAAGCAUCGGCUAACUCCGUGCCAGCAGCCGCGGUAAUACGGAGGAUGCGAGCGUUAUCCGGAUUUAUUGGGUUUAAAGGGUGCGCAGGCGGAUUUUUAAGUCAGCGGUCAAAUCGUGGGGCUCAACCCCAUCCAGCCGUUGAAACUGGGGAUCUAGAGUGUGCGAGAGGUAUGCGGAAUGCGUGGUGUAGCGGUGAAAUGCAUAGAUAUCACGCAGAACCCCGAUUGCGAAGGCAGCAUACCGGUGCACAACUGACGCUCAGGCACGAAAGCGUGGGUAUCGAACAGGAUUAGAUACCCGUGUAGUC
rnacentral:rRNA from 1 species